GCCACUUUAGCUUAGUGGUAGAGCGUCUGCUUCGUAAGCAGAAGGUCGUCAGUUCA
rnacentral:tRNA from 1 species